rnacentral:rRNA from 1 species
GUAGGUGGCAAGCGUUGUCCGGAGUUAUUGGGCGUAAAGCGCGCGCAGGUGGUUCUUUAAGUCUGAUGUGAAAGCCCCCGGGCUCAACCGGGGAGGGUCAUUGGAAACUGGGGAACUUGAGUGCAGGAGAGGAAAGUGGAAUUCCACGUGUAGCGGCGAAAUGCGUAGAUAUGUGGAGGAACACCAGUGGCGAAGGCGACUUUCUGGCCUGUAACUGACACUGAGGCGCGAAAGCGUGGGGAGCAAACAGGAUUAGAUACCCUGGUAGUCCACGCCGUAAACGAUGAGUGCUAAGUGUUGGGGGGUUUCCGCCCCUCAGUGCUGCAGCUAACGCAUUAAGCACUCCGCCUGGGGAGUACGGUCGCAAAGACUG